GAGUUUGAUCGUGGCUCAGAUUGAACGCUGGCGGAAUGCUUUACACAUGCAAGUCGAACGGCAGCACGGGGGCAACCCUGGUGGCGAGUGGCGAACGGGUGAGUAAUACAUCGGAACGUGCCCAGUCGUGGGGGAUAACGUAGCGAAAGCUACGCUAAUACCGCAUACGAUCUACGGAUGAAAGCGGGGGAUCGCAAGACCUCGCGCGAUUGGAGCGGCCGAUGGCAGAUUAGGUAGUUGGUGGGGUAAAGGCUCACCAAGCCGACGAUCUGUAGCUGGUCUGAGAGGACGACCAGCCACACUGGGACUGAGACACGGCCCAGACUCCUACGGGAGGCAGCAGUGGGGAAUUUUGGACAAUGGGCGCAAGCCUGAUCCAGCCAUUCCGCGUGCAGGAUGAAGGCCCUCGGGUUGUAAACUGCUUUUGUACGGAACGAAACGGCGCUUUCUAAUACAGAGCGCUAAUGACGGUACCGUAAGAAUAAGCACCGGCUAACUACGUGCCAGCCGCCGCGGUAA
rnacentral:rRNA from 1 species